rnacentral:sRNA from 1 species
UCCCUGGCUGAUAAGGAUGGGAGAAUCUUACUUCCCGGCCCACGUUUUCAUCAGCUGGAGGACUGCUUGUAAACAGGAGGUUUGCAAACAAGGGCCCGGUGGGGAAGGAGAAGAGAGAAAAUGGAAAUUCGGUUGCAGAUAUGAAACUCCAGUAUUAUUCUCAUAAGCGGGCGGUUUACAGACAGUGACGCUACAGAGUGGCAAGGGUUGAACCUGAAGUCUUAAUUAUAAACUAGGUGACCCAGUUUCAGAUCCUAGCAGUCACAGAGUGGCUGACAACCAUCCUCAGCUCGUUUCAGGGAGAUCUGAUGUCCUCUUCUGUCCUCCAAGGACACCACGCACACAUACGGUGCAGGUAUGUACGCAAACAUGUAAGCAAAAAUUCAUACACAUAAAUGAGAUGAACAAAUUACCAUUCGGUUCUGCCAUCCUAUUUAUUAAGCGCCCACUUCGAGAAGCCAGAUCACUGAAGAAUUUGAGGAGGGGGAAAUUGAAUCUUCUUCAUCCAUCUGAAAGGAUUACCUUAAAGCCAGGCACGUGGAAACAUGCCUAUAACACAGCACUUCAAAGAUAGGAUCAGGAAUUCUAGGCCAGCCUGGGCUACAGGAGACCCUAUCUCAAAACAAAACAUGAUUAAAAAAAAAAAAAAAACACUUUAUCAACAGGACUCAAAUUAUCUAAAAACAGCACUUGUGUAUCAGUCCUACUGGAAUUCCUGGGUAAAUGUAUGUUUGUAAACCCUGGACUUCAAGUGGCUUCAGUAAGAACAGCUUGGAAAGUGUCUCUGUACAGACUUGAUUUCUAAUUGUGGUGAAGCUUCAUUCCUUAAACCGCCUAUUCAACAUUAACUCAUUCUCCAAACUUGCCUCUUCUAGGCUCUGGGGUAAAACAAGCACGACAGUUUCAAAUCAAAGGAGUGACGUAGCUCACCAAGGCAGCCCUGCUCUCAGUGAAGCCUCACAGGGCUUGCGGUAUAAGCUUCCGGUUCCCUCUACAGCCGCAUUGCCAUGUUUCAUUGCUAAGAGCUCUGCACCCUCCCUCUCUGCCUCCCUGACCUUUGCAUAAACUCCAGUUCUGGGCUCCUGAGAGUUCAGCUCUUUGUCUUCUCGGCUCCUCCCCUUGCUGCCUUAGCUUCCUACGAAGCUUACUUCUUUCUCCUCUGGUCAAAGAUCUCUGGAACCCACUACUCCCACAUCAGUUUAAUGGGUCAUCCUGUGAUUGGUCACUAUUUCUCUGUUCUUAGGUUCUUAUUCUGAGGGCAGGGUCUGACCGGUUUUGUAAGAUGCCUGGCACAUCGGAGGCCUUCCAGGAAUGAAAAACAAACGGAUGUGGCUGUCUAAACAGUUUUGUGGGAAGCGGAGCUCCAGUGGGUUGGUUAGGAGUUGGGGUUUUGAAAUAGGGUCUCAUGUAGACCUGUGUAGUCUCACCAAUUCCAAAUACAUUGGGGAAUGACCUUGAAUUCCUAAUCCUUCUGGUUUUGCCUCUCAAGUGCUGGAGUUACAUACCUGGGAUUCCACACCUGAUUUGGAUUAGGAGUUUUCUUGAAUUCCAGUGAUGUCAGGUCUCCUACCUUCUAUCUUGGCCCUCAAUGGCACUGAAACAUGGGGAGUUGUUCCAAGUGCCUAAGACUGUAAGCUUCCAGACAACAAAAAUACCAUUGAUUUACUGCUGUGGCCUUACUUAGAAUGAGAUAUACACAGAAUAACAGCCAUAACCCGUGUGCCUGAAUGCACUCUGGAGGGUGAACCGAGAUGGGGAGGGGGGGAUGCUACAAACACAGACAAUUGUCUAUAGUACAUUUCAAAGCUUGAGCUGACUUUUUUUUUUUUUUUUCUUUUUUUUCGGAGCUGGGGACCGAACCCAGGGCCUUGAGCUCGCUAGGCAAGCGCUCUACCGCUGAGCUAAAUCCCCAACCCUUGAGCUGACUCUUGAAGAGCACAUAAAGGCACCCUCAUCGAAGGAGGGAAUAGGGGAAGAGGAGAAGGAAGGGGAGAGGAGA